CGAGUUUUAUUGUGCUCAGGAGCUGCUGCUCUUCAGCUGAGGAUCCCAGAAAGAACCUGCCCCGUUAUUUGCCAUGUUCAGGACCAACUUUUCUGGGCCCACAGAGAUAACAGGCAGCGAUUUCAUUGGUAAUCUGCCAAAGCUUUGCUUCAGUCCUUCCCAAAGAAUGGCUGUGGGAGAAAUAAACCUAAUGCUUUUCAUCUGAAUGAAAUAGCAUGCACCUUUGCAGGUGAGAACAGAGCCUUUACCAAAAGGCUUCUUGGUUUUAAGGUGAUUUCCUACUGCCCCUCCUUCUCAGUUGAUGGGAUCCUGGCGUACUUUGUUCCUAAGCACGUAGGACGGGGGUACCACCAAGGAGCCCUCGGAGGAAUCGUGAGUUUUCUUGUUUCUCUUACGUGAGCUGGUGCUUCGAUCCGACGUCAUCUGGCCAGACGACGAUGCACUUCGUCGUUCCAUUGUCUGUCAAGAUCUCAGCAUAGAAGCACUGUGGGAAGGCAAGCCCAAAUGCCACCAGCCAAAUUAUUCCUAUGAUGACUCUGGUGUUUCCAGCAGAAAGCCUGGGCUUGAAGGGAUGGAUUAUAGCCACAUACCUGCAAGAAAAAUGGGUAAUGCUUUUAUGGUUCCAUUGGCAAACUGUACAACAAAUACAGCAAGUGUAAAAACUCACCAGCUGAUAUGGUGGGAUUUAUUUGUAGAGCUAUUCUGUCAGGUUCCAGGAGCUAAGCCCCUUCUGAAGAGAAUAAUUGCAAGUCUUAAGGUAGGAUAGAUUGAUCUCAUCUGGAUGGAUACUUCUGGUGCAAGGAGGAAGCAAUCAUUUAUACUGUCUGCAUAUGGUCCUUUGCAAGUAUUCCCCUUACUUUGAUAAUUUCUUUUUUUAUAAUUACUUUUUAAAAUGCUUUGUACAUUUGGUCUGAAAUUUGGUGCUGUGAACUCUG